AGGUUCCUCGGGAUCGUAUCUCAGAGACAAAUCUCUGAAUUCGAUUUUCCCUAGACUUGGCCAUUCUCGCGGAGGCUUAUUUUCCGGUGUACUUUCCAGGGGUGGCUCGCUUUCCAGAUUACUGUACUCUACGACUCUCUCGACAGAAGUCAUCUGGUUUUCCAUCUCCGUCAACAUUCGCAUUCCCCAUUGCAGCAACUGCGUGAGUCCCAUGCAUUGAGUGAUCACCAAUCCAACGGUACCUCCAAAUGUGUCCUGAUCGAGAACAAGGAAACUGAAGAUGACGAGAGUGACGUAGAUCACGCUUGUCAAGUCCACAUAAUAUCCAAAACAACGGGCUCCUGAAAUAAACGUGAACCAGGCCGAAGAAUGCAGGUUCUGAUGAUUGUCGAAUUCUUCAGCAAGAAUGGUCUCCGCAUGAAAUGCGCGAAUCGUUGGUAGUCCAUUCAAUGUAGCGCUAAGAUGUGCAAAUACUGGAGAGCGGGCUAGAAAGUCAGGUAUAAAGUUUAUCGCCUAAUGGAAAUAUUUCAACAAACUCUGGUUCUCGUUCAACUCUAGAUCGAACAAUUUUCUGAACCUCUGAACUCACUCAUUCCUUCCAGACGUUUUAUGCUUCUGCUGGUGCGCAUGUAGAACAUCCGCACAAAGUACAAUACAACUAUGAUGAAAAGACUUGGUAGCGUGAGCAAAGGAUUGGCCAUAGCUAUGACGAUAGAAGUGCCACCGAACGUCAAACCCACCUGAACCACUUGUAACAUAUUUAUUGGCAGCAAUUCAUCGACACCUCCCAUGUCCUUCGAAAAUCUGAAGAAUUUCAUAGGCUCGAGAUGGUAUUCCAAAUUCUGACCACGUCCAUGUCAUACGUAC
rnacentral:misc_RNA from 1 species